GGGCCUGUAGCGCAGUGGUCGACGCGCCCUCCUGCGUGGAGGGAGAACGCCGGUUCGAAUCCGGCCGGUCCCG
rnacentral:tRNA from 1 species